GGUUUGGUUAACUGUGUAUAUAAGUAUCUCAAAACUCCUCUUUUUGUCAAACUUGUGAUGCUCUCUUCUUCCACUUUUCCUCCCUUCCUUUGCCCUCUCCUCACACUCUUGUCUGCAGCAUCUUCAAGAUUCACAUAGAAAUCAUGUGGAGCAGAUAAUAUAUUUGUAAAAAUCUGCCCCCCUAAGUUUUUUGAACAUGAGAAUCUUGAUGAUGCUGCAUCGGCAAAUGAUGACUUCUUUGCUCUAAAACGAGGACCUCGCGUCAACAUAAAAUGAAUCUUGGUUAUGUUGCUGUCAUAAAGUUUCGUUCUUCGUUCUGUCGUCGAUCUUUCAAUUUCUUCGGGUAUGCCGUUCCUCCAGCAAGGUGUAAACUGUAUGCCUUAUACCAGGCCAUUCCGAGACUAUAGAGAAGUGAAAAAGGUACUGAAGGAUGUUUGUUUGCCUCUAUUUAGUAGUUCUUUUUGUGUAAUCCUAGUGUUAGCGGUUUGUCCGCACUUCGACUAAUACAGGUAACUGACAGUUUUCUAUC